AAUCUGCGUUAAGCCAAUUCACCAGAGUGGCACAAUUAAAAUCUUUGGGCCAAAUCCUCCUUGUUCUCUUCAUGUACGCAACGCUUUUGAGAGUAAAGGGAUGAGUGAGAGCAGCGUUUAAGCUGUACAUUAAUAAUGUAUGUCCUUCGGAUGGCAGGGAAGGGGCUGGCAGAACAAAUGGAAGCACCCUGGGAGAUGAAACUGUCCGCGGCCAGAAUUGUUCUAUCUGGCUCUCACAUGCCGGGAGCAUUCAUCAUGACCUGCAGCAUCCACUCCUCCCUGGUGGUCCCCUCUGGAGCUGCCCUGACAAAUGAAGCCAGAAACUCCUAUGUUAGUGCUGAAGGUUGUCACAGGCAGAGUCACUUUUCUGGACCUUACCACUCUAAGAUUUGGCCAGAUUCUUCGAAUCUCACAGCCCUGCGCUUGCUGAGCCGUCCCCAGGAAGAAGUGGCUCAAAAUGUCACAGGACCAGGCAUGAACCCACCACACUGCUCCUGUGUGGGGUUUGGUGGCUCUCUUCAGCUCCAGCUGUGUACCUUACAGCUUUCUCCAGCUUAUGAUGGGAUCUCUGGUUGCAGUGCUGUGUGUCAGCCAGGGUUAUCCUGAGGGGCUGUUUGCCACCCACGUGCACUUCCUGUGGAAGCAGCAGUCAGUCGAGGUGAAGGAGCAGAAGGUUGCAGUGCUGGGGCAGCAGCUCCAAAGCAAAGCGACGGACUCCUGGAGAGAAAUCAGCUCUUCCAGAACCUGAUUCUUCUUGUCCUUCUGCAGAUGUCUCAAAAUCAGGAAGAAUGCAAUUCUUUAAUCAAACACAUUGAUUCGGUAGAGGUAAAGCUUCAAAAAACAGACAUACACACAGUGCUCCAGCGAAGAGUUACCAUCUGCCUUCCCUUCUCGUCCUCCUCCUCAAAGGAAGGAAGAAAGAAAUUCUGCAGGAGCUUAGCUCUUCGUUACCUGCUAGCUCUGACAUUCAUGAGAUUCCCUGCAGGAAUUUUCUUGCUAUCCAGGCACGAUGAACACCCACAAAAAUUGGCAAGGAGAUGACUUCUAACUUGUUUUCAAAAGCUGGCUCUAUUUCAAAUAGACAGUGUCUCUCUGGUAUCAAACCAGGUUUGGUUUUGCUUUCUCCUGAAAAAUAGAAAAGGCAAGUAGCUAUCCUACUGGUUGCCUUGAAAACUAGCAAAAAUACGAUGUUUCAGGGAUCAAAAGGAAGACAAUUUUACCUGUCAAAGCCUGAGGAUGAAGUUCUGUGUUUGCCUGAUAACAUCAUCUAGCUGAGCAUCCUGAAAACCUAAGGCAGAGUUUGCUUUCUGUAUAGUCUGCUUCCCUGCCUCUACUCCAGAAACACAGGCUGCCUACAGCAGGGAACACCCAAAUGUCAAAUUCAGAGCUCGGCCAUUGUGCCAGGAGAGAGCUGAUAUUGCUACAUCAGUCGUUAGUGUGCAGAGUUAAACAUCCAUAUUAUGUUUUCAUGCUGGAAAAAGUUGAGUCCGGGUGCAGAAGAAAAAAACAACACAACAGUAAUUUAGCUGGAGUAGUUUUUUUUUAGAUUGAGAAAAGUUAUACCAAUUCCCAUGGG
ensembl:lncRNA